rnacentral:rRNA from 1 species
UUUAUGGAGAGUUUGAUCCUGGCUCAGGAUGAACGCUGGCGGCGUGCCUAAUACAUGCAAGUCGAGCGAACGGACGAGAAGCUUGCUUCUCUGAUGUUAGCGGCGGACGGGUGAGUAACACGUGGAUAACCUACCUAUAAGACUGGGAUAACUUCGGGAAACCGGAGCUAAUACCGGAUAAUAUUUUGAACCGCAUGGUUCAAAAGUGAAAGACGGUCUUGCUGUCACUUAUAGAUGGAUCCGCGCUGCAUUAGCUAGUUGGUAAGGUAACGGCUUACCAAGGCAACGAUGCAUAGCCGACCUGAGAGGGUGAUCGGCCACACUGGAACUGAGACACGGUCCAGACUCCUACGGGAGGCAGCAGUAGGGAAUCUUCCGCAAUGGGCGAAAGCCUGACGGAGCAACGCCGCGUGAGUGAUGAAGGUCUUCGGAUCGUAAAACUCUGUUAUUAGGGAAGAACAUAUGUGUAAGUAACUGUGCACAUCUUGACGGUACCUAAUCAGAAAGCCACGGCUAACUACGUGCCAGCAGCCGCGGUAAUACGUAGGUGGCAAGCGUUAUCCGGAAUUAUUGGGCGUAAAGCGCGCGUAGGCGGUUUUUUAAGUCUGAUGUGAAAGCCCACGGCUCAACCGUGGAGGGUCAUUGGAAACUGGAAAACUUGAGUGCAGAAGAGGAAAGUGGAAUUCCAUGUGUAGCGGUGAAAUGCGCAGAGAUAUGGAGGAACACCAGUGGCGAAGGCGACUUUCUGGUCUGUAACUGACGCUGAUGUGCGAAAGCGUGGGGAUCAAACAGGAUUAGAUACCCUGGUAGUCCACGCCGUAAACGAUGAGUGCUAAGUGUUAGGGGGUUUCCGCCCCUUAGUGCUGCAGCUAACGCAUUAAGCACUCCGCCUGGGGAGUACGACCGCAAGGUUGAAACUCAAAGGAAUUGACGGGGACCCGCACAAGCGGUGGAGCAUGUGGUUUAAUUCGAAGCAACGCGAAGAACCUUACCAAAUCUUGACAUCCUUUGACAACUCUAGAGAUAGAGCCUUCCCCUUCGGGGGACAAAGUGACAGGUGGUGCAUGGUUGUCGUCAGCUCGUGUCGUGAGAUGUUGGGUUAAGU